rnacentral:rRNA from 1 species
AUUGAACGCUGGCGGCAUGCCUUACACAUGCAAGUCGAACGGCAGCACGGGAGCAAUCCUGGUGGCGAGUGGCGAACGGGUGAGUAAUAUAUCGGAACGUGCCCAGUAGUGGGGGAUAACUGCUCGAAAGAGCAGCUAAUACCGCAUACGACCUGAGGGUGAAAGGGGGGGAUCGCAAGACCUCUCGCUAUUGGAGCGGCCGAUAUCAGAUUAGCUAGUUGGUGGGGUAAGGCCUACCAAGGCAACGAUCUGUAGUUGGGCUGAGAGGACGACCAGCCACACUGGGACUGAGACACGGCCCAGACGCCUACGGGAGGCAGCAGUGAGGAAUUGUGGACAAUGGGCGCAAGCCUGAUCCAGCAAUGCCGCGUGCAGGAAGAAGGCCUUCGGGUUGUAAACUGCUUUUGUCAGGGAAGAAAUCCUCUAGGUUAAUACCCUUGGGGGGAUGACGGUACCUGAAGAAUAAGCACCGGCUAACUACGUGCCAGCCGCCGCAGUAAUAC